GCACUGAUGCUGUGACGCAGGAAGACAAAGUUCACGCUCUGACUGCACGCGCCCUGUUCACCUGAACUAAGCAAAUAGUGACAGAGCGUAAAGUCACAUAAUGGUCACGGCAACAGAGGAAAGUAAGGCCGACACAGACAGCAGCGUGGGAGGGGACGUUCUCAGAGGAAGGGACACCUGUUCAAGGACCUGCAUGAAAUGAAGAGAGCUGGUGGUCUCAGCAGUGGUCCUCGACGGGAGGUCCAUGAAAUGUUGGCUUCCAGGGAGGGAUAAGAAGCCCAGAGUCCUGUGAAGUUCCACUUUUUAGCCCAUGGAGUUUGGUUCCAGGGAGGUUGUACGCCAACUUCAGGACCGGAGAAUGACAGUGGUAGGACCAUCCCUGAGCUAGCGGCCUCCUCCCCAACAUGGCGCCCGGAAGGAACCUGAGGUGAGGGCCUUCCCUGACAUUCUGCUCGCGGAUCUGCCAACGGCGCUAAUUCUUACCGUCGAGCGGGGAUAUUUAAGGAAACCAAAGAUCGUCUCCUGUCAUCACGAUCCUUCAUUCACUUCCCUAAGUUGCACGUCUACAGACGUGGUCUACAGAACCGUGUGGGCCGCUCACUGGAGUUGUCUGAGGACCCCGACUUCAUAGAAUGACCUUCGCCAUGUUCCAGAUGUCGAGGCUCGCCCAGAAGAGGCAAUUUUAUCUGUUCGACAUGAACGCGUCUGGAUGGAGGGCAAUUGCGACAGCGAAAAAUGUAGGCUCCAUGUCCAGUGUGGAGCCCAACACAGGGCUUGAACUCACGACCCUGAGAUCAAGACCUGAGCUGAGAUCAAGAGUCAAACUUUAAACCAACUGAGCCACCCAGGUACCCCCAAAGAUUUUCUUAACAAGAAAUAAGAAUUGUGAAAAUGCCAUUUAAGCUAUAAAAAGAUAUAAACUAUCAUUUAUAUAAUCCAACAAACAGGCCUCGUUUAUUAUUGUUUAUGUGUGUAUCUGUGUGAUGAUAAGUCCUAUGUGCUCUACAUUAAAAAAAAUACCUAUGACCAGAUAAAAUGAACCAAAAUAUCCUCCUGUUCCUAUUAUUUUUAGCUCCAGAGGUGUGUCAAGAUGGCGGAAAGCCACCUGAAAGCUAAUUAGGUUUCAGCAGUUGUUGAACAGGCUGUGUUAAACAGGCUUGGGGUAAAACUUGAGUUAAUGAUACUGCUAGACACUGGAUUUUUUUAAGAUUUUGCAUGUAAGUAUUUGUGUUUCUUUGGUUUAUUUUACUUAGCAUAAUGCUUUCCAGAUUCAUCCAUAUUGAUGCAGAUGGCAAGACCCUCUUUUUUGUGGCUGAAUAAUAGUCCAUUAUUAUAUCCCAUUUUCUCAUCCAUUGAUCCAUGGACCGACACUUAGGUUGUUCUCAUAUCUUGGCUAUUAUGGAUGAUGCUUCCAUGAACAUGGAUGUACGGAUACCUCUCUGAGAUACUGAUUUCAGUUCCUUUGGG
rnacentral:lncRNA from 1 species